rnacentral:rRNA from 1 species
GACGAACGCUGGCGGCUUGCUUAACACAUGCAAGUCGAACGGAAAGGCCCUGCUUUUGUUGGGUGCUCGAGUGGCGAACGGGUGAGUAACACGUGAGUAACCUGCCCUUGACUUUUGGAUAACUUCAGGAAACUGGGGCUAAUACCGGAUAGGAGCUCCUGCUGCAUGGUGGGGGUUGGAAAGUUUCGGCGGUUGGGGAUGGACUCGCGGCUUAUCAUCUUGUUGGUGGGGUAGUGGCUUACCAAGGCUUUGACGGGUAGCCGGCCUGAGAGGGUGACCGGCCACAUUGGGACUGAGAUACGGCCCAGACUCCUACGGGAGGCAGCAGUGGGGAAUAUUGCACAAUGGGCGGAAGCCUGAUGCAGCAACGCCGCGUGCGGGAUGACGGCCUUCGGGUUGUAAACCGCUUUCGCCUGUGACGAAGCGUGAGUGACGGUAAUGGGUAAAGAAGCACCGGCUAACUACGUG